UACGAAGGGGGCUAGCGUUGCUCGGAAUCACUGGGCGUAAAGCGCGCGUAGGCGGGUCGUUAAGUCGGGGGUGAAAUCCUGGAGCUCAACUCCAGAACUGCCUUUGAUACUGGCGAUCUUGAGUCCGGAAGAGGCGAGUGGAAUUCCUGGUGUAGCGGUGAAAUGCGCAGAUAUCAGGAGGAACACCGAUGGCGAAGGCAGCUCGCUGGGACGGUACUGACGCUGAGGCGCGAAAGCGUGGGGAGCAAACAGG
rnacentral:rRNA from 1 species